rnacentral:rRNA from 1 species
AUUGAACGCUGGCGGCAGGCCUAACACAUGCAAGUCGAGCGAGCGGCGGACGGGGGAGUGAUGUAUGGGGACAGCGCGAGAGAGGGGGAUAACAACAGGAAACGGUAGCUAAUACCGCAUACUAUCGGAUAACCCAUAUGGGAUUAGCUAGUAGGUGAGGUAAUGGCUCACCUAGGCGACGAUCCCUAGCUGGACUGAGAGGAGGAGCAGCCACACUGGGACGGAGACACGGCCCAGACUCCUACGGAGGCAGCAGUGGGGAAUAUUGCACAAGGGGCGCAAGCCUGAUGCAGCCAUGCCGCGUGUAUGAAGAAGGCCCUAGGGUUGUAAAGUACUUUCAGUCGGGAGGCGGUACCGACAGAAGAAGCACCGGCUAACUCCGUGCCAGCAGCCGCGGUAAUAC